AAUGUUACUAAUUUUCUCUGAAAAUUUUUAAAGGUUAGUGAAAAAUUUACAUUGCCCCUGUGCAAGGAUGACAUGCAAACCCAUGAAGCGUUCCACAUUUUU